AGUGAACGCUGGCGGUAGGCCUAACACAUGCAAGUCGAACGGCAGCACAGUAAGAGCUUGCUCUUACGGGUGGCGAGUGGCGGACGGGUGAGGAAUACAUCGGAAUCUACUUUUUCGUGGGGGAUAACGUAGGGAAACUUACGCUAAUACCGCAUACGACCUACGGGUGAAAGCAGGGGAUCUUCGGACCUUGCGCGAUUGAAUGAGCCGAUGUCGGAUUAGCUAGUUGGCGGGGUAAAGGCCCACCAAGGCGACGAUCCGUAGCUGGUCUGAGAGGAUGAUCAGCCACACUGGAACUGAGACACGGUCCAGACUCCUACGGGAGGCAGCAGUGGGGAAUAUUGGACAAUGGGCGCAAGCCUGAUCCAGCCAUGCCGCGUGGGUGAAGAAGGCCUUCGGGUUGUAAAGCCCUUUUGUUGGGAAAGAAAAGCAGCAGGUUAAUACGCCGCUGUUCUGACGGUACCCAAAGAAUAAGCACCGGCUAACUUCGUG
rnacentral:rRNA from 1 species